GACGAACGCUGGCGGCGUGCUUAACGCAUGCAAGUCGAACGGUAAGGCCCUUCGGGGUACACGAGUGGCGAACGGGUGAGUAACACGUGGGUGAUCUGCCCUGCACUUCGGGAUAAGCCUGGGACACUGGGUCUAAUACCGGAUAGGACUCCGGACUGCAUGGUCUGGGGUGGAAAGCUUUUGCGGUGUGGGAUGGGCCCGCGGCCUAUGAGCUUGUUGGUGGGGUGAUGGCCUACCAAGGCGACGACGGGUAGCCUGCCUCAGAGGGUGACCGGCCACACUAGAACUGGGAUACGGCCCGGACUCAUACGGGAGGCAACGAUCAGGAAGAUCGCGGAGUGCGCGCAAGAAUGAUGCAGCCACGCCGCGUGAGGGAUGACGGCCAUCGAGUUGUAAACCUAUUUCAGCAACGACGAAGCGAAAGUGACGGUAGGUGCAGCAAAAGGACCCGACAACUACGUGCCAGCAGCCGUAGUAA
rnacentral:rRNA from 1 species